rfam:Triticum aestivum genome assembly, contig: Triticum_aestivum_CS42_TGACv1_scaffold_396306_5AS
GGAUGCGAUCAUACCAGCACUAAAGCACCGGAUCCCAUCUGAACUCCGAAGUUAAGCAUGCUUGGGCGAGAGUAGUACUAGAAUGGGUGACCUCCUGGGAAGUCCUCGUGUUGCAUUCC